UCUGUCAAAAAUGACAAUCAAUUUUGCAAAACAAAACAAUGGGUUUCGGAUUUUAAGAGUAAGUUUUUGUUAAUUGUUUUGAUUUUUAAUAUAAUUUGAUAUUUUUCACACCAAAAUUCUUUAUAAUGAAGAGGGUAUAUACAAGUUCACUUCAUUGAAUAAAAAGUAAGUCAAAUUGCAGUGAAGGAGGUGCAACAAUAAUGGAUUUAUUUUAUAGUCUGUCUUUUCAUUUUAGAUAUUGCCAAAUUGCAGGAAGCAAUUUCCUUUAAGUAAUUUGGAAAGCAAACCAAACAAGGCGCUGAUUUGCAGGUAAGUUUUUUGUAUAUUAUAUUUCUCUUAACAAAAUAAUAUCAAUGUUUUUAACUACAGAUGCUGCCCAUUGUUUUUGUAUGUACUUCUCAAUGGCAAGAGCUGCCGCAGGCGUUGACGGCGGAGGUGUCACCAUCAAAACCAUUGGAAACAACACCACCAAGUCAAUGAUGCAAGUGGAAGUUUUGCCAUGUAAUAGUCGACCGCUGACGCCCUUCUCCAUCAAUUGUUUAAGUACGUAUCGAAACAUUCAUAUCGUAGUCAACUAGCUUAAUCUUCAUCUUCUAGGUGUAAAGAGUAUACUACCAGUCUGCAGUUCUGCAAGAGACGCAAGAAAAACAAGAAUACAAUCGCAGGAAUACUCAAAAAUUGUCCAACCUUGACUGUAAGAGAGUUCAAAUUUUAAAUCUACAACGAAUCCAUUUAUUUUGCUCCUAAGAAUCGCACUGGCUUAACGGUGGCAAUCAUUCGGAGGCAAAUGAGCUGGCCCGACAAGAAUCCCCAAGAAGCCAAACAGAUUCAGAUCAGUCUCUCGGCAGCUACUGACGAUGUCGGCGAGUGGAAUUCAUCGAUUUUCACACAGAAAAUCAACAUCAAAAAAAUCACGACAAUUUAGCAGCGUCAUGGUCAACCUGCCGAUCAACUAUUCACAGUGAAUAACCUCUAUUCGCAGCGGAAGCGAUCUCUGCGUUGUCGACAAUGCGAAAACAAUGUCAUCAAGCCGGAGUACCAUCCAGGAUCGAUCAAGUAUCGCAUUCAAUUGCUUGCUAACUACCAUGUGCCCAACGUUCUGCUUGUGCGUUGUGAAAAGCCACUGAAGCCUGGCACGUCCACUGAAUUGAUCCUCAACUAACUAACCCAACGAUGUACCAUAUGGCCACAACCAUUAUGAAACUGCCAACCAAGGAAGAGGAACGGCGAAUGAUCGACUUCGAAUAAAAGUUCAACGAAAGGAACCAAAUUUCACCACUUGAAGAAAGUCCAAUAAAGUAACAAUCAAAUUGAACUUCACACCUGAAGAAGGACUGAAACCAGGCGAUGAUGUUACCCUUAGUUUCUUGAUGAAACAUACUUUUGUGAAUACAUACACACGCCCGAAAAGAAAGAACGUCAAAAACACGCACUAUCAUCGAAAGUUUUUGUAAAAGUUGGUCAAAUUGAAGCCUAAAUUUAUUUCUAUGUAUAUCUAGAAAUUAAUCUUUUUUGCAAACAACUUGUUUAUUUAUUUUGAGCUAUAGUGUAAAUUUUGUAUAUAUUGUAUAUUCUACUAUUUCUUUGCUGACUAGGAUUAUUUUUAUUCAAAAUUAUUUAUGAUUUACUUUACUUUAAUAAUAAAGGAAUUUGUUUUGAAUUCAAA